rnacentral:lncRNA from 1 species
UGACAACUGCUUUUUGAGACCUGUCAGUCAGCCAAUUCUUAAUCCUUCUAAUGUGAGCUCUAUUGAUAUUAUAUACAGCUAAUUUUUUAAUCAAAACGUCAUAUGCUAUUAAAUCAAAUGCUGAAGAGAAGCCAAAGCACACUACUGCUCCUCAGUUACUUUUAUCAGGUAAACUUUUAAAUUCAAGGAAUGAAACCAAAUUUUUUGACAAGCCCGGCUUCCCAUCCAGCCACGCUGAGGGCUCUGGUUUCAGCCCCCCUGCUGCCACCUGCAGCCGCUCCAGCUCCUGAGCCUCUCCCGGGAUGGACACGACCGGAGGGUUCCGCAUCCCAACAUUAUAAAUUUGAUAUUCCAGUCAAUGAUUGUCAGCGCUGGCGGAGGACACGGAAGCUGGCACAGGAGGGCGGAUGCUGUGUGUGGUGUGGGGCUGGUGCCCACUGCAGACGAUGGCAUGGAUCCAC